UACGUAGGGGACGAGCGUUGUCCGGAUUCAUUGGGCGUAAAGAGCUCGUAGGCGGUUCGCUAAGUCAGGUGUGAAAUCUCCACGCUCAACGUGGAGGGGCCACCUGAUACUGGCGUGACUCGAGUCCGGUAGGGGAGUGUGGAAUUCCCGGUGUAGCGGUGAAAUGCGCAGAUAUCGGGAGGAACACCAGUGGCGAAGGCGGCACUCUGGGCCGGAACUGACGCUGAGGAGCGAAAGCGUGGGUAGCAAACAGG
rnacentral:rRNA from 1 species